GGGAGCCCGGGCGGGAAGGGGGGCCGCGAGACCCCCGCGNNNNNNNNNNNNNNNNNCCCCUCCUCCGGGCCCCGCUGAGCCGCGGGCCGGCGGCUCCCCUCCUUCCCGCCGUCUGCGGGGGGCUGCGACCCCCCCGAGAACAGCUGUCGGGGAGCGCCGCCCCCCCGCCGGAGCUCCGCCGGCCCCCCCCGAGCCGCGGUACCGAGGGCUGAGCGCCGCUCCCGGCCCGUAGCUGAGCGCCCGUGGGGCCGGGCUCGGUGCCGGCGCCCUCCUCGCUGCGCGGUGAGGAGCACGGGGGCGGUGGGGCUGCCGCGACCCCCGUGGGGCUCCGUGCUGGAUGUGGGGGUGACCGCCGCUCUGGCCCCGCAUCCCAGCCCGCGUGGGGCCGGGGCCGCUCCCGGUGCCCUCCUCGCCUCUGGGUGAAGAGCGGCGGCUGCUCGGAGCCCGCGGCCCUCUGAGAUGCCGUGACCCCAACGCUCCGCCGGGAGGGGCUCUGCAGGGUGCGGGGCCGGGGCCGGGCUGCUGCUCUGAGGGCACCUCACAGCUGUCACCACGCCCGUGCCCGCGCUCCCUUCCACGCCCGUGCCCGCGCUCCCUUCCACGCCCGUGCCCGCGCUCCCUCCACGCCCGCCGUUAUCUCACUGCUCUCCCAUGGAGGGUUCAGCCCCGCACCCCCCCAUGCUGUGCGUUCUGGGACGUUGGAUCCCCUCCCCCCGUAGGAUAGCCCCGUGCCCCCCUGGUUGCGGGGCUGAGCCGCUCCUGACGCUCUCUCUUCCCUCCCGUCCCCGCAGUUUUGCUCGGCUCUCCCUCCGCACCGCGGCGCUCCGCCCUCCCGCAUCUCGGUGCGGAGGGGCGCCGUGCGGGAGCGGCUCGACCCCUCCGUCCCCGCGGAGCCCCCCGUGCGUCGGGAGCGCGGCGCUGUGCGUGCGGAGCGCGUCGUGCAGCCGCGGUACGGCGGUGCCGAGCGCCUCCCGGGCGGACCUUCCCCCCGCACGGCCCGUCCGCCGCCCGCGGUUCCUUUGCUUCUAAAUCGGGAUCCGGCGCCGCAGGUGGGAAGGAACCUGCAGCUCCUCGGCGCUGGGAAGGAGGUCGCCGCAUCCUCGGUGCGUGUGGGGGAGGAUGGCCGGCACGGCUCUCCUGGCUGCUCUGCUCUGCUCCACUUUCUGCUUCCAGAGUGCCCAGAUGCAGGCUGUGCGGCUGUCCUGAGCUCUGUGUGCUGGGUGCCCUCUGCGUGUGUGUGCUGGGUGCCCUGUGUGCUCAGGGCUCUGUGUGCUGGGUGCUCUGUGUGCUCAGGUCCGUGCAGGUUGGGGCUGUGCAGCUGUCCUGAGCUCUGGGUGCUCCCUGCGUGCGUGUGCUGGGUGCCCUCUGUUUGCUCAGGGCAGUGCAGGUUGUUGGGGCUGUGCGGCUGCCCUGCGUGUGUGUGCUGGGUGCUCUCUGUGUGCUCAGGGCUGUGCAGGUUGUUGGGGCUGUGCGGCUGCCCUGCGUGUGUGUGCUGGGUGCCCUGCGUGUGCUCAGGGCUCUGUGUGCUGGGUGCUCU
rnacentral:lncRNA from 1 species